ACAAACCAUAAUGGACAAUGGCGUUCAAUAAAGAAAUCCCCAACCAAAUUUAUUCUUUACAAAAAACUAACAGUCCAAUUUGCUGAGGUAAAGGCUUGGCGCCAUUAAAAUUAUAAAAAAAAUUCCACAUGGAAUGUACAUCUCACAAGAAUUUUUCUUACUCUUCUGAAACGAAUUCAAUGAAAUCUUUCGAAUCCUAUGAUGACGAUAACCCUGGACCGUUUAGCAAAAACAGUAGUAAAGAAGGAGUGGUUCAAAGAGGAGUUCUUAAGAAAACUGACACCGCAGUAGAAUUUGUUGUUACAAGUGAUUCAAACAGCACGAAUAGUACUAAAAACCAUGGCAUGGACGCCGAAGUACAGACCAACAUAGUUGUCUAUCCUCAUCUCCUAGACGUGAAGGAAUUGGCAAACGUUGUCGUAGAAAUAUCUGUUCAAACAUCGAUUACGUUUCCACCUAAUGAAUCUCUAUCAAACGUUGUGUCGAACUUAAAGAACCCACUGGUACACAGGUCAAACUACGAGGAGGUUCCGGGUCCAUCGACAACCGACGUGGACGAAACCAAAGACACGGAUUCUAAAUCGGACCAGUCAAGUUCAAAAAAAGGCGGCGAAAAGAGGACCAAACAUUCUUCGUGUACUAAAGCUCAAGCAUCAGUUAAUAAGUAAAUAAUAAAAAAGACGUUUUGAACAAAACAAUAGAUUGUCGUAUCGUUAAUUGAAAUUUAAAAAAAUGUCAAAAUUAUUGUAAGAAUAUAUCAGUAAAUCAUUUAAGGCACACAACCAUUUAUUAAUAAAUAGUAGGAGUCCUGUUCUUUCUGGGGAAACCUACGCAUUUUCUGGAUACUCUCUAUAGAUAACUGUCGAUAUCAAAGCAAUAACCUGCUGGACAACAUAGAUCAUAACGCGAAUCGUAAAGGCCUGAUAAUGUCCUCGUAACGUUAUCGAUGAUUGAAUCUGAUCAAAUUGAAGCAGUCGACGUUGGGGUUCAAACUCUUCUUCAUUGUUACGAAGACAAUCACCAGAACAUUUAUGUUUCUUCCAACCGUGUUGUUCAGACGGUCAUUUCUUCUAUUCCUCUGAGAGACGACUACGACGAUUCUAUUUUUAUUGGCUUAUUAGGAUUCAUUCCUUAUUCCGAGAUAUAUGUGGAGUCUGAGAAUAUCAUCGUACUACCCCGUAAAAGGAAAUUGCAGUGGGCAGACCCUUUCACUAUGGAAUUGAGUUCUGAUUCAGAUAGUAUCCAAAGUAAUUUGAAGUAUAAGAAAAUGGAACCUGCGAGAUGCAAUCAAGAAACUCAAACUAUAAUUGCAGUUUAUCCGCAUGUUCUGGACGAUGGUGAUGUGGCCCAUGUCAUGCAAAAUAUUACAUGUCAAACUUCUAUAACCGCUUUACCAGACGAAUCUAUUACCAAUAUUGUACCGAUUCUUAAACAACAAUUACCGCACAAUUCAAUGUCACAAAAGACAACAACUAUCCCGAAAUAUUCAGAAAACAAUACUACAGAACCAGGUAAUAGCGAACAUCCAGUUACUGGAGGUUCAAAUGAUGCUCCUGCAGGCUCAGGCACUCCUGACAAUUCAAAUCUUCCCGAAGAUUCAGUAGCUCCAGAGGAUUCGAAUCUUCCCGAAGAUUCGGAUGUUCCUGAAAAUUUAAAGCAAUCUGACGAAGAACAGUUACCACCAGCUUCUAAAGAAUUAGAAGAAAACAUUCCCGGGGAAUUAAAAGAAAUUUCUGAAGGACCCGAAAAGAAUGAUUCUUGUAAAAUUAGCGAUCCUUGUUCAAAAAGUCCUUGCAUUGAAAAGGUGAUCCACAGGGACGACUGUUUUGAAAAUAAAGUAAGAGGAAUCCUGCAAAUGGCUGCGGAAGUUUUCGAAACUGAAAUCUGUGAAUUUUUCGAAGAACACCCGGGCGAAAAAAAAGUUGCACUUUGUAAAGAACUCUUUAAUUUUGCGGGCAUUUCUGGUUCCAAGGAGGCAGACCAAUGGGAUAAAGCAGUUAAAGACUUGGACAAAAUAGCUGCUGAGGGUGUCAACGAAGAAAACGUUUUUUCAUCUACACCCGAUGUAAAUCAGGAGGGCAUUGUCAGGCCUGUCGAAAUUUCGCCGACAAAUAAUAAUUCGGGUAACUGUUUUUGCCAAAAACGAACGAUAAAAGAUGUAGCAUCACCAGUGAAAAGAUCCAGUAAAAUACCACGUCUGAUUCAGUGUUGCGGAAAAACUGCAAACUUUUGUGGUAAUCAACAAUCAAGUAAAAUCCCGGUUUUAACUAAACGACGCUCAAAGGUUUCUCAACAAAUACAACCCUGUGUUACUUCUUCUGGUCCAGGUGAUUGCAAAGAGGUACGUUUUUCUUUCAAUUUGCCUUCUCCCCAGCUGUUUACAACAAUCGAAUCGAAGCCCCAAUACGAAUUUAAUCAUCGAUUACCGUCUGCUAUGAAACGGAGCAUUCAAGUGGGUGUAGGCCAGUGCUGUAGUACCAGGGAUGGUAUAGAGAUUCAACAAGUUUCUUCUCCGGAACCCAUACAAAACUUUGUUUACGAGUGCGACGCGGGGUACGUUGAAUCGUAUCUACAAUCUUUGGGAAACGAAAUAAAAGGUUGUCAGACUGAGAGAACAGAAUUGGGCGAAGGGGAUUGGGAUUGGGAAGAGGACGAAGAGGAAGACCCUUGCUUAUGCGAUCCCUGGAAAAAAAUCGCCGUACCACUUCCUGGUACUUACGUAUUAAAAAAGACAAAGAAAUCAUCUGAAGAAGAAAAUGAACAGACUUCAACAAAUGAUAUGGAUUUUUUGUCAAUUGAGUCGAAAAAGUUACCGACCCUUGAGCUAGUCAAACUCCCCGUUUACGAUCCCAAAUAUUUUAAAAUGACCGAAUUAUAUAUGGAACCACUGUACGAUUUCUAUCCCAUGGAAACCGAACCCGAAGACGUUUGUGGUCCAGAAACAGAAAUGCCUUGGGAAGACAUAGUUCUUCCAGAAAAGUGCAGAAUAAAAAAAGCCAACCCAACCGUUUGUACUUGUUCAAGUAGGAAACGUUUCAGCGUAUUUUCUUCCGAUAAAAAUCGUAAGGAAACCGACACAAAUGCCUCUUCGUUUGGACCUGAUCCUUGUGGAACUGUAAAUAUUAAUGCCACGGCUACAACUAGUGGGAAAUCUUCUACAAUUAUCAUUCAUAUCAAACCUCCCAACGAGGACGACAGCAACUCAAAUGAUUCUGAAUCUAUAGACAGCGUUUGUUUAAAAGAACUUCCUUUUUACGGAAUAUCGCAAUCGACUGGCACCUGUGGUUGUCCUAAACGGCAACCCUCCACUGAUGCAAAAGGGAAGCUUCCUUCCAAAUCACCUCGAAGCGUUUUAGAAAUAAAACCAAAAAAGAAGACGUUGGAUAUACCUUCAAAUCCUCCUGAAGGACUACACAAAAUUAUCAAGAAAGUAGGUGUAAGGCCUGCAAUGGAAGAAAUCACUUGUGAAACACAAAAUAAAUCGACUGACACAGAUAAAUGUGAUCAAGCUACCGAAACCAUUUCGUCAAUGUGUUCUAGAAAUCAUGCAACAUCUAAGGCUCAAUGUAAAAAAUCAGAUCUAGGCAAAAGUUGUAGUAAAACACCUAGACAAAACCCUGCAUGCCGUUGUAGAAGAACCAGGAGCAAUUCCGACUGUAACAAUAAAAAUACCAAAGAUAUAUCGACUUGUACCUCCAAAACGAUGAUGAGGCAAAGGGCUGGCGCCAGCGGGGUUUCCAAAUGUAGUGUUGGUUGUGGACCAGGGGUUUAUGUUUCUGUAGCAGCUGCCGAGAGAGAUAAACACAGCUCUCAAUCGACGUCUAAAAAAGCUUGUCCUUCAUCUGAAGAAACCAACACUGACAAAUCUCUCCCAAAAAUAAGAGCCAUCCAUUCUUUGAAACGCAUUGGACAACCCAAUGCACGAAUUUGUAAAGAUAUUCCUUCGAAUAACGAAGUAUUUGAACUGUUCAGCAAAGGACAAACUAAAGUUCAUUUUGGAGUUAAGGCAGUAUCUAAAGACUCAGCCGGUAAUAGACAAUCUGAUAAAGGUUUCUGCAUAUUCGAAUCGAAACCAGAAGAUGUGAACGAACUUGAGACAGAACCACCGUCAUUAAAUCGAGAACCAUCUUCAACAAAAGAUGAUGCCUGUUCUCCUUCGAAACCCCAAAGAAAAUAUCCAGUGGUUGCAGCCCUUAACGCGUUUGAAGAAGAAAUGAAACCCUUACGCGCUGCUCUUUGUCAAUUGCAAAAAAGAAUAUACUCUUUAGAUCUUCCUGAGAUGCAGUCACGCCAUUCCUAGACCAACGGUAGACACGGCGGUUCUUGCAAAAGGUCCCAGUACAGUAUCAGGUUUGCAAAGUAGCACCACAAAUGUGACUACUGCUACAGACGGAUAUUUAUGUUCUCGGAACUCUGAAGUAGACACUCUAAUGAAUUCUUCUACGACUACAAGUUUUACUAAUGAUUCUGAAGCAUCUGAAGAUUGAAUCAUACAACAUUCACUACCUCACAGUGAUUUGGUUUCUGUUGUCUUUUAUUAAUAACCAACUUAUACUACGCAAAUGUAAAAUUACGAUAACAAUAAUAAAAAUUCGUGCCAAAGCACCUUCGGAGUCUGAAAUUUUCAGAUUUUAGAUUUGGCAUUUUAUAAUGUCAGAAUGUACCUACAUACUCGUUUUUGAUGUUUAUAUACGUACGUCUUUUGAUUGUCAUCUAAAUAAUGACAAUUGUUCAUAAAAUUGUUUUCCUGGGUACUUGGGUCAAUGAAUUCCAAAUUUUCAAACACCAAUGGAGAAGGCUUUGUGUUGUGUGGCGUUUCUAAAAAAUGCGAACGAUUAAAUUUACCGUCAGAACCUCCGGUAGGAUUUUAUUCAAUAAUUCGCAAAAUUAAAAGACAGGGGGUGAGUGAAACUGUGCUACAACGAUUAUCUCAAACGGAUAAAAUAUUAAGAAAUGAUGAUAAUGUAUUCAAAGGUGAUACGGAAGAAUGUGAAUUAUUUCCAAAUGAAGGGGAGAGCGUUAAAGAUGGUACAACUCAAGUAGUGGACGAAGAUGCGUCGGAUACAAGCUCGUCUAAAUCGUCAGGAGUUAAGAUGUAGCGAUUAACACUUCGGAUACUUUCUUGUGGGAUAACGAAGACAAAUACAGACAGAUGUGUAGUAAAUACACAAGUACGUCGCAUAUUCCCGACAAGGAGUCGUCAGAAAUUUCCAUUGAGUCAGAAAACGCGUCAGACGGGGUUGUAUUUGAAGUGACCAAACUCGUGCAGACUGAUUCAGUCGAUGACGUACAAUUUAAAGAUGAAGUAACACAGACGGGAGAUAGUUUUACUGAGUUUAACGAUUUACAUUCGCAAACAAACAUAUUUGAAAAAUCCUACGAACAGCAGUCGACUUUCAAUUUGAUAGAUUCAAUCAGUAGUAAAGCUAUUUUUAAUAAUACGUUGCCUAUAGACUCAAAUGUUAUGAUCAGUUCCUCUCGAUUAGAAUGUAACAAAUCUAUGAAUAUUGUAGCAAAUCGUUCUGUUGAAGUUCAAGUGAAAUUGGAUAAUGAUCGUUUUCCAAACAAUCCAGAAAAUGUUAUAGAUGAUAAAGAUAGCAGGGAAAUCUUCAGAAGGGUUGUGAGCUAUUCAGUUGGGGUGCAAGUUAAUUUGGAAGAUAGGAAAACCCCUAUCAGUAGAUCUGAUAAGGCCGUUGGGGUUCCCGAAGAAGUUGAUAAAAUUUUUGGUCAUGAAAUUGACGAUUUUGACAACAGCAUCUCUAGCUAUCAUAGUACGAGGUUUUUAACAAAACUCAUAGAGGAGGAUCACGAUUUGGAAGGUGUUUCAGAAAAAACGGGAAAGAAUGGAAAACAAGGAUAUUAUUCAGAUAAAAUAAGAGCCGGAAAUGCUCCUUCAUGUUGUUCCAAUCAAGGACUACACCGUAGUAGCAAAAAAGAUUUUGAACCGUCGUUGUCAGAAAACCGGAGCAAGUUGAUCAGUACUACUUUUCGAAAUACUGAAACAACUUCGAUUUUUUCACCGAGUCCUCGGAACAACAACUCGUUCUUCUCAAAUUCUUCGUCAGAUAUGGAUCAAAUCUACAAUAAAACAAAAACAUUUCUUGGGGGAACGGGAAAUAGAAAACCGUAUUCAAAUGUUGGAUCUCCCCGGUGGCAUUCCAAUAAAAAUGAAUGCAUUCAAUUAGAAAAAUCAUAUUCCAUGCACAGUAAGAGUUCUUCUUCUCUUAGACAUAAAAAUCAUGACUUUAGAGAUGACAAAUGGUACAAUUUAUCUAUUGAUUUGAAAGCAAAAGGCGAAGAGAAAUCAAAAGAAGGUGCAACGGAUAUGAUAAGUUAUAAACAUAGCGAAGAAAAGUUUCCCGUUCUAGCAGCUUUUAGAAAUUUCUCAGAAGAAAUGAAACCAUUGAAGAAAUCGCUACAAGAGCUGAGAAAGAAAAUCUACGACCUUAAUUUGGCGGAAAUACCACCCCCUGAUUUUUCUAAUGCGUCAGAUUUGGUUUUCUCGGAAGAUCAUAAGUCAGUUUCAAAAAUUGUUGAAUUGCGAAAGAGCAACAGUCCAAUGAGAUGCCAGUAUUCAUCACGUGCCGUUUUUAUGGGUACCCCAGAAGUUUCGUCAAUUUCUUCCAUGGAUUCAGAUUUUUCAGAUGAUGAAAACGAAUUGCCUCUAUUAAAUGUUUUGCGAUCUGUACUUGAGAAAGAAGAAAGGAAAAGAAGUAGAAGACGAAGGAAAAAAGAAACUACAAGAACAAACUCACGUGUUACUAAAAAUUAAAUAAGUUUUUCUGAAUAUUGUUCGGGUCAUUAUACGUGUUAAAUCUA
rnacentral:misc_RNA from 1 species